ensembl:lncRNA
CAGAACAGGGUUGCUAACAGAACAGGGUUGCUAACAGAACAGGGUUGCUAACAGAACAGUUACACAGAACUGGAAGAAAACUAAACUUCCGGAGGACCUAUCAUCCUUCCACUCUCUCUACGUAGCAAGUACGCACGAUUACAUGUGAGUACUGUGUAGAAAGUGUGAAGAGGCUGUAAGAAAAGAAACUUGUAUUUUAUUACAUUUGUUUAUUGGUGUUUUGUAUUCUUGGCAGUGGGUCCAGGCCAAGGCCGGACUGUCUCCUGAACUCGCCGUUUAACAGAUCCGGAGAUUGGAGGGAUGAGAGAGUGGGCAGAAACGGUUAAGGUAGGAGAGGUUGGGGCAGGGCUGGUUAAGGUAGGAGAGGUUGAGGCAGGAAUUUUUAAGGUAGGGGAGGUUGGGGCAGGGCUGGUUAAGUCAGGGGAGGUUGAGGCAGGGCUGGUUUGUGAUGGCUGGGUGGAAUGGGUUGUGAUUACCGGUAAUGGGAAUGGGGAAAAUAAGAAAUCAAAGUGUGGUGCAGUAGGUGAUAUUAAUGUGAGGGGACUGGACAUGGAGGCUGAUGGUGUUCCCAGAGGAAGGGUGGGGGAGGCACUGACAGUUCUUGAACUCACAGGCGUCUGGUGUUCUAGGGCGACUGACCCAGAGACAGAGAGCUGCCGAAGCGCCUCCCCUUCCCCCAGGCGAUCCUUCUCCAUCUUGAGGCGCUCCCUCUCCACCUGCAGGCGCUCUGUCUCCACCCUCAAGCGCUCUCUAUCCAGCUGGAGCCGGUUCUUCUCCACAUCCAGGUGUGCCUUCUGUGUUUCAUGUGCUUUUUCUAAUAAAUCAUAAAGAGCUUGGUGGAUGUGCUGGGCGGUCUGUGUAACAUGGAUUUGUUGCGUUUGUGUCUCCAGGAUUUGUUGGAGCAGAUUGGCUUGGGGGCCUUGUGGUGUCCAGCCAGACGUGAUGGGUUGGGGUGUAGAGUCAGAGUGGAUGGAGUGAGCUGGUGCAGGACAGGAGGUGAUGGGUUGGGGAGCAAAGCCAGAGUGGAUGGAAUGAGCUGGUGCAGGACAGGAGGUGAUGGGUUGGGGAGCAAAGCCAGAGUGGAUGGAAUGAGCUGGUGCAGGACAGGAGGUGAUGGGUUGGGGUGCGGUGCCAGAGAGUGCAUCUGCAUUGCUUGCUAUUUGGGGUUUCAGGCUGGGUAUCUGUAAAGCACUUUGUGACAACUGCUGAUGUAAAAAGGGCUUUAUAAAAUAAAUUUGAUUCAUUGAUUGAGAGUGGAUUGAGUGAGCUGGUGCAGGACGGGAGGUGAUGGGUUGGGGUGGCACUGUUGGUGCUGGCCAAGGUGUUGAUGGUGAGGUGGAGGGUAGCUCCUCCAUGGUGACAGAGGGUAAAGCUGCCUCCACAGUUCCCUCUGCUGCUGGUGGGGGACCAGAGCUGGAGAUUUCUCCCUGAGAGAGACCUGGAC